GCAACGGAUGUUACCAUAUCAUGGCUGUCUAGGGCACAAAAGGCACUGAGAUUGAAGUGCGUACCUUAAAUCAAUCUAUCAAUCUAUGAAUACCCAAAUGCAAGAAAACUUUCAGCCAAUAAUAAGACUGAUUUACAAAUAAUUCAUGACUUUUUUACUGAAGAACCAGACCUUCCCAUCGCUUAUUAAACUUUUCAUACUAGAGAUUUUGCACCUUCUCCGUAAGGAUUGGCUGGUCUGGUUCCUGGAUUUUAUUCGCUGUAAGCUACAGUAGCUAACCUAAAAUAUUUAUUUAAACGAUGCCAGAUAUAUACAAACAGAUAGAUUUCCGAGCUUUGAAAAAUACGAAGAAAUGGUUUGGCGAUAAUAUAAUUGAAUGAAGUGCAUCCAGUUAAGAUGAUUCAAAACCUGUGCUGGCAAAUAAGACAGUGCUUUUAUGGAGUAUAAAAGUCCCUCAUUUAGAAUUUCAAGGACAUAGCGAAAUUCCCUCGAACGCCGGUGUAUUUUGAUUUUUAUCAUAACUUCAGAAAAAGGUCGAUUUAAGCCAUUCAACGAAAGCAAACAAUUUCGCAGCUGCUUGACUAAACUUAA